AGUAAGCGCGUUAAGGAUUGAAGUGGCAUCCUUUUGCUUUUUUGCAAAAGAUAUAACGUAAAGCCUGACCUACU
rnacentral:sRNA from 1 species